rnacentral:rRNA from 1 species
UACGUAGGGUGCAAGCGUUGUCCGGAAUUAUUGGGCGUAAAGAGCUCGUAGGCGGUUUGUUACGUCGGAUGUGAAAACCCGAGGCUUAACCUCGGGCCUGCAUUCGAUACGGGCAGACUCGAGUGUGGUAGGGGAGACUGGAACUCCUGGUGUAGCGGUGAAAUGCGCAGAUAUCAGGAAGAACACCGAUGGCGAAGGCAGGUCUCUGGGCAUUAACUGACGCUGAGGAGCGAAAGCAUGGGGAGCGAACAGG